GAAUAUUUUUAUAUUUCCAUUUUAUAAUUUUGUAUCUUUAUUAAUUGGUUUGUGAUAUUUAUUAAUUGCAUUUUCCUAGUCUAUUCCAUCUGACAUGCAGUUUGACCCCAACUCCAAUCCACCAUGCUAUAGGACAGAAGAUGAGGAAGUAGUAAUUCAACAAGAUGAUGAAAUCAGGCUGAAAAUAGUUGGUACUCGAGUUGAUGCUACAGAUAUUUUUGCUAUUGGAACUUUAAUGGAUGAUUAUUUAGGUUUGAACUAACUACAUGCUCUUCUGUACAUUGUUUCCGAUUAAAAACAAUUGCAUCCAGUUUUUAUGUAUUCAUUGUAAAUAAAAAAUUCUUUUUUAAUUUCA